AGUGAUGCCUAAAGCAGUGGACCGCGUGCGCUCGCCUCCCUGGGACUAGGUUUCAGCGGCUGCUGCGAUGACCAAAAUAAAGGCAGAUCCCGACGGGCCCGAGGCUCAGGCGGAGGCGUGCUCCGGGGAGCGCACCUACCAGGAGCUGCUGGUCAACCAGAACCCCAUCGCGCAGCCCCUGGCUUCUCGCCGCCUCACGCGGAAGCUCUACAAAUGCAUCAAGAAAGGUGAGGCGGACCCCGGCGUGGCCGGGAUGGGGGCGCGGGUGGCUGAGCGAGGCCCCGACCGACUCUUCUGUCGUUGCAGCGGUGAAGCAGAAGCAGAUUCGGCGCGGGGUGAAAGAGGUUCAGAAAUUUGUCAACAAAGGAGAAAAAGGGUAAGAACCUUCUUUCCUCUGAAUUUUGCAUUUCUAAACGUUAACAGAGAAAUCUCUACUUAGUAGGUGCGCAGUAAAAAGGCUGACUCUGACCUAGCCCCAUAUACAGAAGCCAAUCAAGCAGUCGGUAAAGUCCCUUUGGUACAAUACCGGUACAACAAUACCGGUACAUCACGUAUACCAGCUCAAAGUGAAUUCCAAAGUGAAGCGAAUUGUGUAAGCUAAGUCCCUUAGGGUAGACCCACCUUCAUUAAUUCAGGAACCCUCCU
rnacentral:sRNA from 1 species